AUUUCUUUUAAGAAUUUCAUGUUUCUGAUGAAGUUUUGAAACGUUCAUUUGACUAUAGGAAUUGUAUUAACAAUGACCCUCUUUAUUACUGUUUUAAUUUCUUAUACCGCUUGCAGUAUUUUUAUUUCAAUUAAAAUGUCUUCAACUUGCAUACAGUAGUUACAGAUUCUCUCCUAAACUGCUUUAUUUCUGCCUUUGGUACUGAAAUUUGGAAUGGUUACAUCUGGUAAGUUGUGAUUAGCUCCUUAAAGAUAACCAGAUGAUCCUGAUUACUUGGGGGUACUAAUGCAAAUUCCAAGGAUACGUAAACCCAUGGAAGAUAUAUUUUCUUAUUCCUGUUGCUCCAAACUGGAUACAGCUGAGGAAACAGGGAGAAGGAAUGGUGCCUGUAGUUCUUUGCAUCUUUUUUCAUUUUGGUGCAUGUAGCAAAACCAGAUUGUAUUGGUUUUUCAAGUUGCAGGGAAGUUUCAGUAAGGAGCAAACUUAGAAAUUACUGAAUUUUCAUUUAGGUUUUUAGUUGUUAAAAAAUCUAAACGUGGUGUUCUUGUUUUUUUUGACUGUACUGGCAAAUGCUGCUUUAAUGUCAGUAAAUAUUUAGCUGUCAUUCUGUAAGAUUUACUCAAAGUACAAGUUUUCUAACCCAGAGGCAGGAAUUGGACAGGAAGUUUACUUUCGCUUGUUUUAAAAACCUUGAGCAGAUGAGUUUACUCACUUCUAGCUUAUGCAGAACUUCAAUAAAGUACUUCAAGAACAUCAGGAUUCAUAAAAACUGCUUGAGAAAUAGCCAUCUAUGAGGAAGGUCAAGCUAACCUUUUAAAUUUAAAACUAUCUUGAUUGUAUUUUUUUUUUCCAGAAGACCAGUUAAUUUUCCAUGUACGUCUUUUCUCAGAUUGCUGACCCAAAAUGAUAAUAUUGCUUUUGUAUCACGUUCGCUCCCCAUUUCUGCUGCUGUUGCUAGUUAAACAUCUCCUGUGCUGAUGUGCUCCUUGUUGAGGGAGGGAGAGUGAGUGGCGUGCUUGGCAUUAAACUCUUCCAAGUGGUUUGGCAGCUGUAAAUGCUCUGUAGAGAAUACCAGUUGCUUCUUGACCAGAGAAACACAGCUUUGUGUGCUGGUCAGAGGUUCAGCCUGCAAAGCAGGUGGCCCUGGGUGGGUCAGUGAGAAACUCCCCAAUCUGUGCAGGAGGGUCAUCCUGGGGAAAGGAGGCUUAUCUAAUCACGUUCGUGGCAUUAUUUAUAGAAGUGCAGAGUGGUAAAGCAGUGUUCUUAUGAAGAGAAACAGCCUUUUCCAAGAAGUGCGAGGAGGGAGAAAGAGAAACGAGAGCUCGAUGUUCCCUUAGAAUUUAUUUAAUGAACACAUUACUCGCGUAUAGCAUGUUUGGCCACGUAACAGAUUGAGGUUCCAUGGCAGGCACUCAAACCUCAAGCAUGGUGUCAGUCCUAAUUUGUAACAAGCUGGUGACUGACUUGAUUAAAAUAUUUGAAAAAUUGUAAUCUAUCUUUGCAGUAAUUGCACGUAUUCCCCCUCCCACCCCAGUUUUAAAAUCUCCUGACUAUGCGAUGCAAAAGACUGUGGUGCCAUUGGCAAUUUCAGUGCUAAUUACCCAGUAGAACAGUCUUCUUGCUGCUGCUUUAAGCAAAUUAGCAAUGUCUGAGCCUUUUGCUGGUAUGAGUAACUCAUGUUACACUUCUUGCUGCCUGACUCAGUCUGCCCAGGCUUGGUUUGGAUAGCCUGAGAACCAUACAAAUACGUUCCUGUCCAAGAGCUGGAUUGUGUUGAAAUUCAUUCUUGCAUGAUUGCAUUUCUUGAUCUACUUCCAAGUAUAGGGGCUCCUGACAAACUUUUUGGUUUGUUAGUCAGGUCCCUAUCUGUAGUGAGAGCAACCUCAGAGAAUACCCCUGGCCCUUGGUUAGCAACUGCAGGCAGGGCAGGAAGGUGGGAGACAUCAGUGGUGUCUCCUUUCACAACCAAUAUCAAAGCUAUUUCAGAACUGGAGGGAAGAGAAAGCAUUGCUAUUUGUCCCACUGCAGCAACUGAGGAGAGCUUGCUGCUGACUGUGUAUGAAUGAAAGUUAAUUGUGUUUUUGGAAUGAAGACUGUCACGCCUACUUCAGUCUCAGUUGGGCAUAGUUUCUCCUCUUCCUUUAGUCUUAUCUUUCAAAAAAGUAAACUUUUCUUACUGGAUUUCUCAUAUUACCAUUUCUAGACACCUUUGAUUCAUUCUACAAAACACCCACUCUCCAGCAGACUUGCUGACUUCUUUACAGGAUUAAAAAAGAAAAAAAAAACUGACAAAAUGACACCCGUACUAUAGACCUGUGGCAGAAAGUUUGAAUCUGUUUUCUCCAGUGAUUUCAGUUUAUCUGAGUGACCUGGUGUCUCCCGUGUAAAUACUCCCUCCUCAAUCUCCUUUUGGUCUCUCUGGGAUCAGAAUGGGUUUGAUGACAGUUUUCACAUUCAAUUGCUUUAUAAACAAUUAAAUUAUAUAAUGUAGGGAAGCAAGAUAUUGUUAUUUCCCCAAUAUUUUUAUGCCAUCCCAAUAACAUGGUUAUCAGGAUCUGUGGCCAUUUCCAUGUUAAUAGAAAAUGAACUGAGUGGAUGGGAGUUACUUUGGUUAGUCCCUUUGGUAGGGGCAGCUUUCAGCAGAGACUCACUGAAGUGGAAAGGAUCAAAUUUGCUGUCUCUGGAAGCAGGUGCUAAGCCCUCUCCUAAGGUAUGAUUGCAGACGGAAUAAAUAUUUAUAUAGUGAGAGAAAAUUUUAGUUGACAACGUUUUGGUAAACUUGGCCAUCUUUGAUGCUAAGGAGGAGCGUUGCACUGGGUAGUUGCUGUUUCACAGGAUCACACUGGUUGAGGUUGGAGGGGACCUGUGGGUGCAUCUGGUCCAACCCCUGCUCAGGCACAGACACCCAGAGCAGGCUGCCCAGGACCACAGGCAGCUUUUGAAGAUCUCCAAGGAGAUCUUUGUUUCUUGGUGCUGUGCCAUGGCUUCCUUUAUCUUCUUGAUCUUAUCUAUGUGCUUGUGCCAUUUUAAAGAGAGAAACAAAAUGAGAAACACAGAGCAUGGGAAGAGCCUGCGCUAAGCAGAGGAGGCUGUUCAGUCCUCAGCUGCGUGUUUGUGUUCUUUUGUAGCCUCACCGAGGAAGGAAAAUGUACCCCCUUCUGCUUCUCAGGUUGCCUAAAAAGCUGUUUUCCUGUUGGCAGACACUGUUUUUAGAAUUGCUCUGUCACAGAUACAGCUCAAAAGUAUUCUGAUUUCAGAUACCUUGUUUGUGAAUAUAAAUCUUCAGUUGGUAUUCUUGAAAUAUGUUUAAAGUUAAAUAAUUUCUUGGUGUGUUUUUUGAUUUUUUUUUGUUUGUUUAUUUCAAUGAGAUUUAAUAGAAACUGAAAUUUGCCUCUUUCAGAUUAAAACAUCCUUUCCAGAUAACAUGCAAAUACUUCAGAGUGGGAUUGGCUUCUAACAGAAGGGCAUCAUUUAGCAGUGUUAUGUAUGUUUUUUUUUUGAGCAAUGUUCAGGUCAUGUUACCUUCUCAAAAUGGUCAAUGUCACAGCCCAUCACUAUUUGAUUGCAAGGCAUUUUGAAAUUCCAACUCAGCCCACUCAAACUGCUUUCAUGAAUAAUGGGAACAGCAUUCUAUGAAAUCACAGAAUCAUAAUUAUGCUUUUAAUUGUCACAGGAAGUAUUUUUUUCAGCUUCAUCUUCGCAGUUUUUAUGACUAGUCAGUCCACAUUUUAGCAAGUGGAGAAAGAAUGAGUGUGUACGUAUGCAUACGUUACUGCUUUUCUCAUUCCCUGGUCCACAGAUAUUUAAAAUCCAUUCCUUCCAUUUGAAAAAUAAUCCUUGCCUGGUGACAUUCCUGGAUUCAAGUGCCUUUAUGGGUCUUAAUAUAAAAGAAACUUUAUCUUUUAUUUUAUGAUGUAUGGUGUUAUUGCUGGGAACCUUAGCUAAGUGCUUGAUAACAAUAAAAGAAAACAUUUUCUGUGUAACCUUGCUGGAAUUACAGCAGUUUGCAAUAGGAAUUAGCUGUGUUAAUCUUUAUGUAAAUGCUUUUAUCAGUAUUAUAAUUGUAUGAGCAUCUGUCAUUCAGUAUUAUUCAUUAAUAUUCAAAGACUUUGGCAAUGGCCUCAGGUUUGUCAUGUAGUAUCCCCAACAAAUACUGGGUUUGAAAUCAGCUUUUUUGAAGUUUCUUUUGCUUCUUUAUAGCAGUCUAGCAAAUGAGAAAACAACAGUUUUUUCAUCUUCACAUAAGAUUUUAACAUAUUACUUUUAGAGAGUGUAGGUAUAGAAUUUCAUAUUUCAGUAAUGCGUAAAUUGAUGCCCUGGCUUUUUCUUUCCUCACAGGGUGUACUUCUGUAAGAGGCCCACACAUUUAGUUGAUUUUGUCAGUAGGGGACUCUACUUUCAACUCUCUUCAUUCUUUUGGCUCCUAUCAAAGAAGAGCAAUCAUCUCAUAAAGUAGAUAUGUUGUUAAAGUCUGAUAUCUCUCUGGGCUUUGCAGUGAGAUACGGCAUUUUCUUCACACCCUGGCAUGUUGAGAUGUCAGGAUAUGAUAAUAUUAUGCAUAGUAAAAUCAUUUUAGUAGCUUCUAGACUUUUAAAAUGACAGCUCUAAAAAUCAUUUUCUAAGAAAACUUUUAUUAAUUAUUGCCAAGCAAUGUGUUAGUAUUUGGUUUAAAAAAAGCCCCACAAAAGACACAACAGUUUUGGGAUCUUGUUAAAAAUAAGGACACCUAAAUGAUAGCAAUGAAGAGAGAAAGCAAGAGGCAAGACUUUUUUAUUUUAUGUUUUUUGGUUUCAAGUAUUUUCUCUUGCAGGAUGCACUGCUACUUCAGUGAUUAAAAAAUCUCAUCACCUUAUAUCAUCAAGGGAGGGAGAGAGUGACUGACUUUGUGCCAUUCUCUUGCUUUUUACUUGCUAGACUACUGAUUAUCAGAGGAUGACUUGUAAAUCAUGAUCUGGUUUCUUCUCUUGCAGCUAUUUAAUGAAUUUUUAUCCUGAUUAUUCACCCUCUUACAAAACUGAUAGCAUAACAAAUUCUGCUGAAAGGUUUUGAGGCAGAUGAUAAACAGAAAGAGACUUCUGAGUUCAGAAAUCCAAAGUUUUACGAAUGGCAUGAACAGCUUUCCUUUUUCAACAGCCUGAUGCCUCUAUCAUUUUUUGCUAGCCCUAAUGAUUGCAAAACUGGUAUCAUAACUAGAGUGAAAAUAAUACAUUUUGAAAAAUGUUGAUAUGAGCAAAAGCCAAGUGUGUGGGAUGACAGAUGAAAGUGGUGAUAAAUUGUGUGGGUGCUCUCAUGUAAGAAAGUGCCUGAAUCAUUAUUCGUUAAACAACAACAACAAAAAAGCCUAUUUUCUGUUUGCAAUACUGGGACUUGUUUAAAAAAUCUUGGCAUGUAAUUGGCAUUCAGUGAAUAAUGAAAAGCUUAUUUUCAGAAAUUAGCAGUCGUGACUUCACAAUUACUUGAAUCUCACACUUGUGAAUAAUUCUGUUUGUAAUUUGCUAGAUUAUUUUUUUUGUUUAAGACAUAGAGAAAUGCAGCACCUCAUGAGCAUCCAUAUCUAAGACUGAAGUUAGUUUAGUAUCUGGUAGGACCCAAUCUGAUGCAAACUACUAAAUGCAAAUAUAAAUGAAUAAGUAGUGCAGCAGUAGAGUAGAUUUCAUUCAGUUUUUCUCUUUGUUAAAUCUUUUAAAAUAACUGUUCAUUCUUAUAGUGUUACAUCAUUAAAAUUGUCCAUCUGAAGCUGGAUAUCUUUAACUCAGAUUAGUCCUUUUUUAUUAAUUGGGAGAAGUAAGUUGUAACUAUGCACAUCUAUUAAACAGUUUAAUAAUCUAAGGAUUAGUCUUUCAAAAGUAUUCAGGUGGCAAAAGGUGCAUGUGAUUAAUUCUUUUACAUAAAGGAUCGUUAAAAGGUGUACUUAAAUGCUAGUCUAUCUUUAGAUAUAUAAAUACUUUUUGAAAAAUCGCAGCCUUCAGUUGAUUUUUUAAUAAAAUUUCAUUAUCAUGUUUUGAGGGGUUGGAGUGGAGGUUACACAGAGAUUCUACAUGGAGAUUAUUUAUUUAUUUAUUUAUUUAUUUAUUAACCCCAGCUAUGUUUUAUCAUGCAAAUUCAAGCCCAAAUUACAACAUUCUCACAUAGUUUUGUUGUACAUAAUGAACUGAAAGCAAACACACUGGAGGAAAUCUCAAAAUCCAUAACAUAAUAAAGGCUAAAAAGGCAGUUUUAUGCUUAGUGCAAGGCAUGGUUCUGUGAUGUAUAUAUUUGAAGUGACUUCAGGAGUUGGAAGUGAUUUGCAUUGUUCAUGUUAAUAAAUAAAGUAGCACUUUAUUUGAUUUAAAUAUGAAAGGAUGUUUCAUGUGUUUUCAGGACCUUCCCUGAGUCAUUUUUAACACCACAACACCUCAGGAGACUGCACGUACUCCAAAUAAUGCAAAGCUCCAGAGGUCAGCAUGCUAAAAACUAACUACAGGGAGUAUAAUGCGCUUAAAGCAAUCUCAGUUAGGAAGUCCUGUGACCACUUUUAUAGUGAUCUUAUUUAAAGAGAGGCUUAAUAAAUCAUGGCUUGGCUGUGGGAGAUGGGUAUUUGGCUGCCGGAAGCACUUACCUGAUUCCACGAUUACCGUAUCUGAGUGUAUAUUUCCCACAUCUCCAGAACUGGGCACAGGAAGGAGAGUAUCCUUCUUAAACUCACUAAUUCAUAUCAGGAAAGCACAGAACUUACUGCUUAUGAAUAAAGCGCACAACUUCUAACUGAUUAAGUUCUGCCUAAUUUUAGUCUUUUGCCAGACUGGCUCAGCUGUGGGUUUCCUGUACAUCCAUUUAUUCAGCGAGCCACUAAAAUCCAGAGUUGACUCAUCCUAAAGGCUUGCCUCCUACUGCCAGGUCCAGAGCAGACUGUCUGAUGGGAUGCGGGGCUCUACUGUCACGAGUAGAGACAUGGAAGCCAAAAAUGCAGCGGUCCCACUUGUGGCUUAGUAGUUGGCUUCUGCGAAAUCGUGUAAUCUUGUCCUUUGGCUUCUCCAGCUGUACAAAAGAGACACUGCUUGCAGAGUGCUGUGUUUGAUCUAUAUAGAGUGCUUUCAUGAUAAGUCAUCUGUAAAUUGUAGGAUUUAAAAUAAUAAAAAAUUACAAUCUAGAAAUUAUGUAGAAUUAUUGGAGUGUACGCAGAUAUGUACCUUUAGAAGAUUUUAUUUAGAAGGAUUUUAUUUUUUUUAUUCAGCUUUUUUUUUUUUUUUCUGGAACAAAAUAAUAGCCUUACGAUUUUAUUAUUUGCCAGAACCUGAAUUCUUUGAGGUGGGAUGGUAGUAGCCCCUUGUGAGCACAUAAAAGGGAAGGAUGAGCUAAAGUACUUCACAUAACCUGUACAUAAAGGUAUUAAGUAAAAGUUGUGCCUCUGAAUAAUUCAACAGGUGACUAAAUACAGCAAAUACAAUGAUAAACAUUGGUUAAAAAAAAAAAAAAAGAAAAGGAGUAAUAUAAGGAGUAAUAUUCAUCAGGUUGUACCAAAAAUGUAGAAAAGAAUUCUGUCCCCAGCCCCGCAUCAACACAGGUUUUAUUUUAACUGUUCCUGAGUAGAAAGAGGAUUUCAAUAAAGAUGUACAAGCAGAGGAUUGUGUUCUGAAAAUUAACUGUAAAGAAAAAAAAACCACAACACACAACCACAUUAUCAUAGACGUUGACAUUUAUAAUUGAUUAUGGGUUAUACUCGGAGCUCACAAGUGAAAUCAGGAUGAAGCAGGAGUGUGUGACACUGGCGUUAGGGUUUUAUCACAAGCCAUUGUCACUGGAACUGUUGCAUUUCUUUCUUGGUAUGUCAGAAAGAAGACAAGCUGGAACAGUCUGAUGUAGAUAAUAGGCCUGGAAAGUAUGUAAACAUACCGAGGGAGCAGUUAUCAAAGGUUUCUAAAGGCAAGGACAGCAAGCACUGUAAUACAUCAUCUGGUUCUUUUAAGUGAUUGCAAUGCCCCAGCCUCCUUGGGCAAAAACGGCUCCCCAGGGUUGUGCCUUAAGUAACUGUGAUCCAGACUGGCUCCUUUCAGCCUCUGUCUGCAACCUCAUUUACUGCUUUGUUAAAGUAGUGAAAUACCAGUAGUGUCCUUGUCAGAGAUGGGCAUGUUCGGGUUGGGUUAGGUACGUGAGCAGUGCUUUGGGAGAGCCAGCUGAACAUUGCUACCUUUUCUCCUAAUCUACCUGUGUUUAGUAUCUUCACAGUUACUCUACAAUGCAGAAUAACUGCACAUGUUGAGUUGAUUUCAUUCUAUUUCACUUUAAACUUUUAAAUUAAAUUUGUAGCUGUUUCCAGAACUGAAAAUCCAUUUUUUUUUUCCUUUGCCACUUAGAUUCAUUAUUUCUGAAUAUUUAUAAACUGAAGUUUUUUACACUUUGACGUAUACGGUCAUGGGAACGGUGGUGUGGUUUGAAUGUUUUGUGUCAGUAUCUGAUGGAGAUCUGAGGGGGUGUUGUUUGCUCAAGUCCCAGUCGCUGUAAGUCGUGUCUCAGUUGUGCCUCUUGGAGGAUUAGGAAUGAAUUUGUUAUCAUCUUUGACACGGUGAGAUCUUUAACUCAGGAAACAGUGCAACUGCUAAACCAAAAGUUACCGAGCUAUCCAGUAACAAAAGUGAGAGGAAACUUGAAUUUGUUUCCUGAAGUACAGCAGAUCAUAUUGAGCUACGCCAGCUGUUUGAGCUUCCUAAGUUCAUCUGGACUGCAUCGGUUUGGAAGUGCCUGCUUUAGCAACUCAGCUGUCAAAGAGGGAGUGAGAAGCCACUGGAAGCGGUCACCUCUCCAGCUGGCGUACUGCUCGCAGAAGAGGCUACACAUCCAUCCCCUAAGAGACAGACUUAUGACAUGCAGGAAGCUUUGGCAAGCUCAAAUGCAAGAAACCUAGCCUAAAACAUAGUGCAAGAUUACCGAUCUGAAUAAGUGGCUGGAAAGUGGCUCUGCAUUUGCUGCUCUGGGCGGAUUUUUAUUGAUGGGUCUCAUAGGAUGCUCUAGAGGUAAUGUAUCCUUCUAAGUAAAGAGGAGUGAAUAGGAUUUCACUCCAAAGUACAGAAAGUGCUAUCCAAAAUUACACAGAGAAUGACAGAAGCAGCAUGUCUUUGCUGCUUCUUCCGACAACAGCAAAAAUAUCAACAAAGCAUUUGGCUUAUAUAAAACCCAGAAUUUUGACGUCCAGUAUUAAAAACUUCUCUUGUUUGUCCAAAGGUCUUCAGAUCCCAGCCUCUUGGCUGCUAUUUUGAAAGAAAGGAAAAAAAAAAAAA